GGGUCUAUAGCCUAAUGGUUACAAGGGCCUUAGUAACACAUGAGGUCCUGGGUUCGACUCCCGGUGGAAGCG